UACGAAGGGGGCUAGCGUUGUUCGGAAUUACUGGGCGUAAAGCGCACGUAGGCGGAUAUUUAAGUCAGGGGUGAAAUCCCAGAGCUCAACUCUGGAACUGCCUUUGAUACUGGGUAUCUUGAGUAUGGAAGAGGUAAGUGGAAUUGCGAGUGUAGAGGUGAAAUUCGUAGAUAUUCGCAGGAACACCAGUGGCGAAGGCGGCUUACUGGUCCAGUAACUGACGCUGAGGUGCGGAAAGCGUGGGGAGCAAAGCAGGGAUUAA
rnacentral:rRNA from 1 species